UACAGAGGGUGCGAGCGUUAAUCGGAAUUACUGGGCGUAAAGCGCACGUAGGCGGCUUGGUAUGUCGGGUGUGAAAUCCCCGGGCUCAACCUGGGAACUGCAUCCGAAACUGCCUUGCUAGAGUAUGGGAGAGGGAAGUGGAAUUUCCGGUGUAGCGGUGAAAUGCGUAGAUAUCGGAAGGAGCAUCAGUGGCGAAGGCGACUUCCUGGACCAAUACUGACACUGAGGAGCGAAAGCCAGGGGAGCAAACGGG
rnacentral:rRNA from 1 species